AUUCAGUUGCUAUCUUUUUAAGAGGAUACAGAUCUUCGUCCUAUCAAAUUGUUUUUGAUAAUAGAGAUUUCGAAUCGACGAUUGUAAUCGUUGAAAUUGAUCUAGAGUAUUUGAAUUAUGUAAGAACUAAAUGUUAUAAAUUUUAAUAUUUAUUUACAUAGUGAUCAAAGGAUUACAAAAUCGAUAGUUUUUGAUGGCUAAUAUGAGCCGUUUUCUUGUUUAACGGUAUAAAGUAAUCCAAAUCGGUUGAAUUUUUGAUAAAAAUUUUUUUAUACUAUUUAGAUAAUAUUUAAUAAUUCUGAUCAUAAACUAACAUUUGUUUUCAGAAGGUCAUUUAUUUUUUGACCAUUCAUUUUUCGACUUUUCAAUGGACUUGAUAAUAGUUUUUAAAAAUUACAAAAUUCGGCUUCUAAAUAUUUCUAAUAGUAUAGAUCAAUUUCAACUGUACCGAUUAUCAAUUUGAAGUUCCGAUCAUCCCAAAUGAUUUAAUAGAACAAAGACUUCUAUCCUCUUAAGAGGAUAAUAGCCGGACUAUAUAUAUAUAUAUAUAUAUAUAUAUAUAUAUAGAGAGAGAGAGAGAGAGAGAGAGAGAGAGAGAGAGAGUCCGACUGGUAUACUAUUGAUAGCACGAAGCAUUUGGUGCUAUCAAGUUUUCUGCUAUUAGAUUUACCUCUUUUAUCAUUUUCAUCCGUUCGAUUAUACUAUUCAACUAACCACACUCAACCCUAAAGGGCCCAUAUUAUUUUAACCACAUAUUUUUUAAUCAAAUGGCAGAAAAUUUAAUAGCACCAUAUAUAUGUAUGUAUGGAACUAGGCUGGAAUACUAUUAAUAGCACCAAGCUAUUGGUACUAUCAGUUUUUUAGUCAUUGAAUUGAGAAAUGUAUGGUUAGGAUGAUGUGAGCCUCAUAAGAUUGAGUGAGUGGUUGGUUAAAUAGUAUAAUCUAACGAGUAAAAAUAAUCAAAGGGUUAAAUCUAACGGUGAAAAACUUGAUAGCACCAAGCCCUUGGUGCUAUCGAUAAUAUUCCAGCCAGACUCUAUAUGUAUAAAUGUAUAAUUAAUUAACUAAUUAAAAAAUUAAUUAUUAGUGUGUUUAGGCAAUACAAAUAUUUAUAUUAAUUAACCAAUUAAUAUCUUGACCAAUCUAACUAAUUAAAUAAUUAAUUUAUUAAUUUAUUAAUUUAUGAAAUUAUUUAUGAUUAGUUAAUUUAUUAAUUUAUUAAUUUAUUAAUUAACAGUGCUCAUGGUUAAUAAAUUAAUAAUUAAUUAAUAUUCAUGGUUAUCUAACAAUAUGUAUGGUUAAUUAAUUAAUUUAUUCAUUAGAUUAUUAUUUAAUUAAUAUUUUAAUGUUGAUUAAUUAGGCAAAAUAUUAUUAUUUUAAAAUUAUAAUUACUCUUAUUCUUGCUAUUCCUAUCUAAUUACUAUUUUUUUUAUUUUUUAAAAAUAGCCAAAUUUUCAUCCAAACACAAUAUUAGUCUAAUUCCUUCUUAUUUUAAGAAUUAGAUCUGCAUU
rnacentral:lncRNA from 1 species